rnacentral:rRNA from 1 species
UACGUAGGGUGCAAGCGUUGUCCGGAAUCAUUGGGCGUAAAGCGCGCGUAGGUGGCUUCGUAAGUCCGUUGUGAAAGUCAAAGGCUCAACCUUUGAAUGCCGAUGGAUACUGCGAAGCUAGAGUACGGAAGAGGCGAGUGGAAUUCCUGGUGUAGCGGUGGAAUGCGCAGAUAUCAGGAGGAACACCAAUAGCGAAGGCAGCUCGCUGGGACGGUACUGACGCUAAGGCGCGAAAGCGUGGGAGCGAACGAGGA